CCUACGGGUGGCAGCAGUGAGGAAUAUUGGUCAAUGGGCGGAAGCCUGAACCAGCCAAGUAGCGUGCGGGAUGAAGGCCCUACGGGUCGUAAACUGCUUUUGUACGGGGAUAACACCCUUCACUUGUGGAGGUCUGCAGGUACCGUGUGAAUAAGGGCCGGCUAAUUCCGUGCCAGCAGCCGCGGUAAUACGGAAGGCCCGAGCGUUAUCCGGAUUCAUUGGGCUUAAAGGGAGCGUAGGCGGGCUUUCAAGUCAGGUGUAAAAUCGCGCGGCUCAACCGCGCCCGGAAGUUGAAACUGGGCGCCUUGGGUUGACGACAGGCGGGGGGAAUUGGUGGUGUGGCGGUGAA
rnacentral:rRNA from 1 species